UACGUAGGUGACCAGCGUUGUCCGGAUUUACUGGGCGUAAAGAGCGCGCAGGCGGUCCUUCAAGUCGAGUGUGAAAGCCCCCGGCUCAACUGGGGAGGGUCACUCGAUACUGAUCGACUUGAAGGCAGGAGAGGGAAGCGGAAUUCCCGGUGUAGUGGUGAAAUGCGUAGAUAUCGGGAGGAACACCAGUGGCGAAGGCGGCUUCCUGGCCUGUUCUUGACGCUGAGGCGCGAAAGCUAGGGGAGCAAACAGG
rnacentral:rRNA from 1 species